rnacentral:rRNA from 1 species
AGCUAGUGAGGAAGGUGGGUAUGUUAAUAGCAUAUUCAUUUUGACGUUUAGCUGCAGAAGAAGCACCGGCUUAACUCCGUGCCAGCAGCCGCGGUAAUACGGAGGUGCGAGCGUUAAUCGGAAUUACUGGGCGUAAAGCGCAUGCAGGUGGUUUUGUUAAGUCAGAUGUGAAAGCCCGGGGCUCAACCUCGGAAUUGCAUUUGAAACUGGCAAACUAGAGUACUGUAGAGGGGGUAGAAUUUCAGGUGUAGCGGUGAAAUGCGUAGAGAUCUGAAGGAAUACCGGUGGCGAAGGCGGCCCCCCUGGACAGAUACUGACACUCAGAUGCGAAAGCGUGGGGAGCAAACAGGAUUAGAUACCCUGGUAG